AGCUGAUCCAGCAAUGCCGCGUGUGUGAUGAAGGCCUUCGGGUUGUAAAGCACUUUUGUCCGGAAAGAAAUCCUUGGCUCUAAUACAGUCGGGGGAUGACGGUACCGGAAGAAUAAGCACCGGCUAACUACGUGCCAGCAGCCGCGGUAAUACGUAGGGUGCGAGCGUUAAUCGGAAUUACUGGGCGUAAAGCGUGCGCAGGCGGUUUGCUAAGACCGAUGUGAAAUCCCCGGGCUCAACCUGGGAACUGCAUUGGUGACUGGCAGGCUAGAGUAUGGCAGAGGGGGGUAGAAUUCCACGUGUAGCAGUGAAAUGCGUAGAGAUGUGGAGGAAUACCGAUGGCGAAGGCAGCCCCCUGGGCCAAUACUGACGCUCAUGCACGAAAGCGUGGGGAGCAAACAGGAUUAGAUACCCAGUAGUCA
rnacentral:rRNA from 1 species